CCUACGGGGGGCAGCAGUAGGGAAUAUUGCGCAAUGGGCGAAAGCCUGACGCAGCAAUUCCGCGUGGAGGAUGAAGGUCUUUGGAUUGUAAACUCCUUUCGGCAGUGAUGAUAAUGACAGUAACUGCAAAAGAAGCACCGGCUAACUACGUGCCAGCAGCCGCGGUAAGACGUAGGGUGCAAGCGUUGUCCGGAAUUAUUGGGCGUAAAGAGUUCGUAGGCGGUUCGCCAAGUCUGAAGUUAAAUCCCGGAGCUCAACUCCGGCAUGGCUUCGGA
rnacentral:rRNA from 1 species